rnacentral:rRNA from 1 species
CUACGGGACGCUCCAGUGGGGAAUAUUGCACAAUGGGCGCAAGCCUGAUGCAGCCAUGCCGCGUGUAUGAAGAAGGCCUUCGGGUUGUAAAGUACUUUCAGCGGGGAGGAAGGGAGUAAAGUUAAUACCUUUGCUCAUUGACGUUACCCGCAGAAGAAGCACCGGCUAACUCCGUGCCAGCAGCCGCGGUAAUACGGAGGGUGCAAGCGGUAAUCGGAAUUACUGGGCGUAAAGCGCACGCAGGCGGUUUGUUAAGUCAGAUGUGAAAUCCCCGGGCUCAACCUGGGAACUGCAUCUGAUACUGGCAAGCGUGAGUCUCGUAGAGGGGGGUAGAAUUCCAGGUGUAGCGGUGAAAUGCGUAGAGAUCUGGAGGAAUACCGGUGGCGAAGGCGGCCCCCUGGACGAAGACUGACGCUCAGGUGCGAAAGCGUGGGGAGCAAACAGGAUUAGAUACCCGAGUAGUC